rnacentral:rRNA from 1 species
GACGAACGCUGGCGGCGUGCUUAACACAUGCAAGUCGAACGGAAAGGCCCUGCUUUUGUGGGGUGCUCGAGUGGCGAACGGGUGAGUAACACGUGAGUAACCUGCCCUUGACUUUGGGAUAACUUCAGGAAACUGGGGCUAAUACCGGAUAGGAGCUCCUGCUGCAUGGUGGGGGUUGGAAAGUUUCGGCGGUUGGGGAUGGACUCGCGGCUUAUCAGCUUGUUGGUGGGGUAGUGGCUUACCAAGGCUUUGACGGGUAGCCGGCCUGAGAGGGUGACCGGCCACAUUGGGACUGAGAUACGGCCCAGACGCCUACGGGAGGCAGCAGUGGGGAAUAUGGCACAAUGGGCGGAAGCCUGAUGCAGCAACGCCGCGUGCGUGAUGACGGCCUUCGGGUUGUAAACCGCUUUCGCCUGUGACGAAGCGUGAGUGACGGUAAUGGGUAAAGAAGCACCGGCUAACUACGUG